ACAACGCCUAAACUCAAAGCAUUGUCCCGUCUCUUCAUCGUCUUCCUCACCCCCAUAUUCUCCUCCAUCUGAUACACCAGCCACCGCCUUAGGAAAGUACAAAGGACAGAGCCGCCGCUAUGGGUAAGUAGGAGGUGUCAACAGCCUUGGAAAUCAAGUUUCAAAUUUGGUGAUUCCCCAAAGCUAUGAAGAUAGAGCUGGAACCCUAGAAUCAGGAGCUGGAACUCUAGAAAUCUGGAGGUGGCAAGUCUAGUACCUAUAUGGUUCCUUGAGUUGCUAGAUACAUAGAUAAACAAGGGAGAGAGAGAAAAAGAGGGUUUUGGUAUCUUAGGAGUGGAGGAGUAAAAAGUCAGUAUUGAAAGUUUUACACAAAUUGGAGUUGUGGAAAGUACAUUAAAACUGAAGAGGUGAUUCAAAUUCCGAAAGUUUCUUUAGGAUAUCAGCUACAAAUCGUUAGAAGACCUUGGAAGCAGAUUUUAAACAGAUUUGUACAGUUUUUAACAUUAAGGAACUUGUUUUCAUCCGGAUACUUAACGUGAAAAUCAAUCGAGGAUGGAUAGAGUCUACUCAUCCGAUAGCCUUGGACCCUUUGAAGCCACCAGAAAUGAGGUUCGACCGUUAAAUCCCGACACCUAUGAACUACAAUUGGAUUUUCGUGCCGAAAGACUCGUGAGACAACUGAUUAGAAAGACCAUAUUUUUCAGAUCUACAUACUCUUACCAAUUGCAGCGGAAUAUGGUCAAGUAUAACCUUAGGAGCCAACUUCGCACUGUCAACCUUGGGAUAGCUGCUACUGCUAAUGACUAUUACUAUAAUAUGUUAAGGGACCAAGUAGUAGCUCUAUGGCAUCUUGGAAGUUCACCUGAAAAUCCUAUGAUAAUACCACCAUCAUCAUCAGAGUCUAAUAUGAGUGAGAGUAGUAAUGAUAAUAAUGAUAGUACUGAUGAUGGGAGUAGCUCGAUGGGGGACUAUCUUGAGGCUAUUCUAGUUGUUAGCUCCCCAGAACCUUAUGAGGAAGAGGAAGUUUAAAAUGCUAUGCUGAGUGAUUAUGUUCUAUGGUGUAGAAUAAAUAACCAUGGGUGUGUUUAUUAGCUUUUGUAUAAAGGUGUGCUACUGUUGUUUAAAGUUUUGUAAAAUAUAGUCUGUAGAUACGUGUUUUUACUUUCAAAACUUUGUAAAGUUUUAAUGUAAUAUAUGUUAUGUUUAUCCUUCUCUC